CAGCCAAUGAUGAUGAAACAAGUCUCUGGAUGUCAGAGAGCUUCUAUGUACUCACAUGUAAAGCUUACUUGCGAUGGCUG
rnacentral:sRNA from 1 species